GGAUCAUAGCUCAGGUGGUUAGAGCGCAGGUCUGAUAAACCUGAGGUCGGAGGUUCAACUCCUCCUGAUCCCAAUUCA
rnacentral:tRNA from 1 species